rnacentral:misc_RNA from 1 species
GUUUUGGGCGCACUUAGUGAAUCCAAGUUCAUAAAUACUAUUCUAGCUCGAUUGGAUUCAUCCUUUUCACUGUUUUGUCGUGGAAAGGGGAGGAGGCGACUGGUGAGAGAGAGAAGGAGAAGCAGGAGAAGGGAGACAAACUGAGUGGAACCCACUAGCUAUAACUCAAGUCCCUGUGCACUUUCUGAUGAUGAUGAUGAUCUUG